rnacentral:lncRNA from 1 species
GCGGAAUGGGAAAGGAAGAGGAAGCAGAGAAAGUUCUGGGCCCGCUGCGGAGGAGGCCCUGCCUGGGAUGCACCCCCGCCCGGGGCCAGCUGACCCGUGACCGCUCCUCCUGGUGCCAGGCGACGCCCGCGCCCUGGAGUUCGCUCGACCCCAGUCGCAUUUUCUUUCUCCGCUGCACAUCAAUGCGUGUAAACACGGCUUCGGAGCGGCUGCCCACUUUCUGUGUUCGUCUUCUCUUUUUCAGCAAAGCAAUAGGCAGUAGACAAGAAUGUUACACCGCUAGGAGAAUCCGUUUAAGCGUGUGUUUGAGGUAAACCCUCCUAAUUAAGUCAACUUUAACACAGACACGCAAAUGGCACCCUGCAUAUGUGUCUGGCGCCUAAUAUUGGCUGCUGAGCCCAAAGGAAGUCAGGCAGCAGCAGGGCCGAGGAGACAGUUUAUACGUUCAGCCUCUCCUUCCUUUAACCUUUCUACUAGAAAACUGUUUGUGUGGUGGGGGCUGGGCGGGCAGCUUCCCACUCGGGCUAGUGCCUGAAUCAGUGAGGCUAAGAUGCAGAUGCUCAGACUUUGCUCCGAUGCUCACAGCGUUUCUGGGUCCAUCUUGCCCAAGGAAAACAUGUGAUGAGUUUGAAUGACUGAAAGCCAAAGGAAGAAAGAAUCCAGCUUUGAAGCUCUGUAUAGCCUCGGGUUUCUCCAUUGAGGAGCAUACCAGAGAGCUUCAUCAAGAACAUUCCAGAGGGCUUUAUCUUAUAUGGACUAGAACUUGGUGGGGUAACGUGGGGAGAAUAACAUUUGUAAUGCUUUACCAAGCUGGCAUUUUAGGAGACUUAAGUAGUUAGCAAUUGGAACAUCAAUGUUUUUGGUGGCCCCAAGUGACACAUAAAAGGAAUAACUUUCCCUCAAUUGCUGUUGAGGGACUGCUAGAGGGUCAGUUACUCUGGGCUAAGAGUGAAUGGGAAAAGUCCUGUUAGGUGAUCUAGUUAGACAUCAUUCGUUCUUCCAGACUUACAGAGUAUAGCAGUCAGACAUCAUUAGCUCAUCCAGACCUACACAGAAUAGCAAUCAGACAUCAUUAGUUCAUCCAGACAUAUUGACUGUAACAAUUAGAUGUCUUGUCACCCUGUCAGAACCACUGGCAACCCAAAUGUAGAGUAAGACUUAAAAAGGUAAAAUAAAAAAUCUCCAGAAGUGUUGUGUACUGGCUGGUUUGGUGGGUCAACUUGACACAAGUUAGAGUCAUCAGAGAGGAAGGAGCCUCAGCUGAGAAGAUGCCUCCACGAGAUUCAGUUAUGGGGCAUUUUCUCAAUUAGUAAUCAGUGGAGCUCAGCCUAUUGUGGUGCCAUCCCUGGCUGGUGGAUAUAGGUUCCAUAAGAAGCAGGCUGAGCAAGCCAUGUGAAGCAAGCCAGUAAACAGCACCUAUCCAUGGCCUCUGCAUUAGCUCCUGCCUCCAGGUUCCUGCCCUGCUUGAGUUCCUGCCCUGCAUGUGUUAAUCAUUGUUACUAAUCUCUUCCUGAGCCUAGUUUAUAGUUAGUUUAAUAGAACAACAUUUGUGUAGAAAAAUAGAACAUAUUCAGUGUUAUUUUUGGUUUCAGGCAUCCAUUAAGAUCUUGAGAACUGUGUCCUGAAGAUAAGGAGAAACCACUAUAUGUAAAACCAAACCACAGCGUCUUAGUCAGGGUUUCUAUUGCUGUGACGAAACACCAUGACCAAAAAAGCAAGUUGGGGAGGAAGAAGUUUGUUUGGCUUACACUUUCAGUAUUGGAUUGUAAUACAAUGUACGAGAGUCUCUUACUCCCUCCCUUCUCUCUAUAUUUUGAUACUUUUCCAGGGGAGACUGUUUCUAUUUAUCUCAGACAGAAAGGACAAUAAAAAGACCAAGUAAAAUAAUUCCCUUCUAAAUCCAGCAUAGAGAUCCUGCCUAUCCAGGCCAUGGUAUAAUAUGAUAUAUAAUUUGGCACAGAUGUCCUUCGCAAGCCUUGAAGAAAGGCAGACUAGAAUGAACACUGAGGGGAUCUACUGGUGCCUGUUCUUCAUGCAUCCCAAGUUCUCAUGAGAGGGAAGCUAGAGCACCUAAGACUGGUGUUGUGAGCUGGGGAAUAGGUGCAGAAGAGAUUGACAGCCAGGCUGGUAGACAAUGCCAAGCAAUGUGGUUUAGGAAGGAGGAAGGCUGGAACCCUGGUUUUGAUGAGUUCCUCAGGCCAUCUUCCCAGUUGAACCCAUGACACAGGUGUUAAAAAAAACUGAAAACUGCCAAGAAAGGAGCCAUUGCUCUAGGAUCCUAUGAAGACAUAUCAGACUUAAACAAUAACGUUGCUAUGUUGGUUUUACUAUUUGAUACUUUUGGUCAGUUUUUAUAUUGAAGGUUCCCACUUUCAUAGUUUUGAUUGUUAUCCAAAAGAAUUAAAUGGUAAGUUCCAGAAAUAAAUAGUACAUACGUUUUUAACUGUGCUCUGAUCUCAGGAGUCAGGAGUCAGUGUGAUUGUGAAGGUUAACCUCCGUUGUCAGGUUCACUGCACCUGAAAUCAACUAAAAUGCUCAUCUAAAGUGCAAACAUCCUGGCACACCUAUCUGUGAAGGAGUCUCUUGAUUGGAUCAUUUGAGGCUGGAAGACCCACCCUAAAUAUAGAUUGAUAUUAGAACACCUUCCCUAAAUCUGGGCCACAUCUUCUAGGGACAGCCCACAUAAAAGGACACGGAAGAAGGAAGCUUUUGCAUUUUGCCUGCUUUCCCUCAUUCUCCAAAACAAGUUCAUCUACCCUGCUGCUGAGACUUUAACUUUGCUGGUGUUAGAACCUGAUCCUUUGGGAUUCCAAUGUGGACAAGAACAGCCGAGA